UCUCAGUUCGGAUUGUAGUCUGCAACUCGACUACAUGAAGCUGGAAUCGCUAGUAAUCGCGAAUCAGAAUGUCGCGGUGAAUACGUUCCCGGGUCUUGUACACACCGCCCGUCACACCAUGGGAGUUGGUAACGCCCGAAGUCAGUGACCCAACCAGUAGGAGGGAGCUGCCGAAGGCGGGACCGGUAACUGGGGUGAAGUCGUAACAAGGUACC
rnacentral:rRNA from 1 species